rnacentral:lncRNA from 1 species
CCCGACCCGCCGCUCCCCGCCCCGCGGCCCCCGCCCCGGGCUCCUGGGACCCGGUCAGAGCCUGGGGGAGCACCGGUUCCCCGGCACCAUUUUCAGCCUCGCGGCCACCGGCCCCUCGAACCCCAGCGUUCCACCGCGAGCUCGUCGCUCCCCCGGGCGCCCCAACCCCCCGAUUCCCGUCAGCACGCCCCGGGCCGCCCGUCCCCGGUCAACUGCCCGAGCCGAGCCCGACGCGUCGGUGGCCCCUCGGAGCCGCUCCCCUCGGGUCCCGGCGCUGGCCCCUCGGCGCCCAGGGCCGCGACCCCGCAGUCCCCGAGCUCCCGAGGGCCCGGAGCUCGACGCCGCUGCAGCCCCUCCUCCGCCGCCUGGGCCCGGGGCUCCUGUCUCCUUGCCAACCCCGCCCGGCGCCCCGAGAUACUUACGGGCUGCUUCGGGGCGGCUUGGACCACAGACCCGCGGCUGGGCGGGGAGCAGCGCGGCAGGGCGGGGGCGCGGGAGGGUCGGGAGCGGCGAGCUUGCCGAGUGCAAGACGUCGCCGCUGCGGGGCUGAGGGCAGAGGACGGAGGCCUCGGGCGGGCCUUGGGAGCUCGCCGAUGGUGGCUCGGGGUGGCGGGCACGGGGGUCAGACGAGCGCGCUCACUUCUCCACACAGCCCGGUGCCCGGCCCAGCGUCCCCGUAGUGCGCCCGCUCCACGCCGGGCCAGAGCUUCGCUCCUUCUGCCGCGGCGCGCGCCCCGCCUCUCGUUUUAUGGCUUCCUCCCCGCCCCCAUCCCCCUCCGUCGGGGUGCGCGCGCCCGCCAAGCGUCACACAGCUCCGGCGGCGCAGCCAUUCCCCGCGCUCCCCGCCCCGCACCCCGGUCCCCCGCCGGCCGGCUCCGCCCCUGCCCUGCCCCCCGACGCCAUUGGCCAAGUCCCGCCUGCCCCUGUCCCGACGCGCGGUGGACGCAGGGGUGGGGAAGCCGCACCCUCCGGGCUCCAGGAGGGCCAAUGAACCGACAAUCGGAGCACUGGGGACGGAAUGAAGAGAACGUUUGGAAAGAGACUAUGGGGGGAGACGUGCCAAAAAGAAAGGGGUGGGGUAGGGCGGCUGACGCCCGGUUUAGGCAGAGGGCGCCGGGCAGACGGGGAGGAGGGCGAAGCCGGUGGCGAAGCGGCCGAGGAGAACCGGGGUUGGAGGAGCCCAGGACUCUGGGAGGGCGGCAAGGGUACCCAGAAAAUGCCCUUUCCGCGUGGGGCUGCAGCCAAGGAGGAUCCCGCUCGUGGAAUAGCUACUAA